rnacentral:rRNA from 1 species
UACUCUUGACAUCCAGAGAACUUAGCAGAGAUGCUUUGGUGCCUUCGGGAACUCUGAGACAGGUGCUGCAUGGCUGUCGUCAGCUCGUGUUGUGAAAUGUUGGGUUAAGUCCCGCAACGAGCGCAACCCUUAUCCUUUGUUGCCAGCGAUUCGGUCGGGAACUCAAAGGAGACUGCCGGUGAUAAACCGGAGGAAGGUGGGGAUGACGUCAAGUCAUCAUGGCCCUUACGAGUAGGGCUACACACGUGCUACAAUGGCGCAUACAAAGAGAAGCGACCUCGCGAGAGCAAGCGGACCUCAUAAAGUGCGUCGUAGUCCGGAUCGGAGUCUGCAACUCGACUCCGUGAAGUCGGAAUCGCUAGUAAUCGUGGAUCAGAAUGCCACGGUGAAUACGUUCCCGGGCCUU